GACGAACGCUGGCGGCGUGCUUAACACAUGCAAGUCGAACGGAAAGGCCCUGCUUUUGUGGGGUGCUCGAGUGGCGAACGGGUGAGUAACACGUGAGUAACCUGCCCUUGACUUUGGGAUAACUUCAGGAAACUGGGGCUAAUACCGGAUAGGAGCUCCUGCUGCAUGGUGGGGGUUGGAAAGUUUCGGCGGUUGGGGAUGGACUCGCGGCUAAUCAGCUUGUUGGUGGGGUAGUGGCUUACCAAGGCUUUGACGGGUAGCCGGCCUGAGAGGGUGACCGGCCACAUUGGGACUGAGAUACGGCCCAGACUCCUGCGGGAGGCAGCAGUGGGGAAUAUUGCACAAUGGGCGGAAGCCUGAUGCAGCAACGCCGCGUGCGGGAUGACGGCCUUCGGGUUGUAAACCGCUUUCGCCUGUGACGAAGCGUGAGUGACGGUAAUGGGUAAAGAAGCACCGGCUAACUACGUG
rnacentral:rRNA from 1 species